rnacentral:rRNA from 1 species
GUGGGGAAUUUUGGACAAUGGGCGCAAGCCUGAUCCAGCAAUGCCGCGUGCAGGAAGAAGGCCUUCGGGUUGUAAACUGCUUUUGUACGGAACGAAACGGUCCUGGUUAAUACCUGGGGCUAAUGACGGUACCGUAAGAAUAAGCACCGGCUAACUACGUGCCAGCAGCCGCGGUAAUACGUAGGGUGCGAGCGUUAAUCGGAAUUACUGGGCGUAAAGCGUGCGCAGGCGGUGCUGUAAGACAGGCGUGAAAUCCCCGGGCUCAACCUGGGAAUUGCGCUUGUGACUGCAGUGCUGGAGUACGGCAGAGGGGGAUGGAAUUCCGCGUGUAGCAGUGAAAUGCGUAGAUAUGCGGAGGAACACCGGUGGCGAAGGCAGUCCCCUGGGCCUGUACUGACGCUCAUGCACGAAAGCGUGGGGAGCAAACAGGAUUAGAAACCCGGGUAGUCC